rnacentral:lncRNA from 1 species
UCCAACUUUAAAUAACCGUUUUUUUUGGUGAUUUUAGGUCACAAAUUAACAUAAAAAAUAAAAAUAAAGAUUAAUUUUUAUAUAUUUAUUAUUCUCUCGCAUUCUACUCCUUCACCACUCUCAUAUUUCAUAUUCUACUCUCACUUAUCUCUCUCUCCAUGUAUUUCUUUUUUAAUUAGUAUUUCAUAUCUCUUUUAUUAAUUAUUUCUAGUUAUUUAUAUUUUAAAAAAAUAAAACACGUGACUGUGUACCCAGCAAACUAGCUAUAGAUAAUUAGCAUGCGGCCAACUUGUUAUCCCUAGGCCGGCGGCCAGGGCCUGAAUGUUCAGCUCGGCCCUUGGGCUGAGCCUCUCCUUUUGACUCAAUAGAGGACCAAAACCGACUCGUUCUGACCUGAUUACUUUUUUAUAUUAAAUACCCUUUGGUUUUUACAAAAUAACAAUUAGAUCCUCUAAUGCCUAAUGGACAUAAAC